rnacentral:rRNA from 1 species
GACGAACGCUGGCGGCGUGCUUAACACAUGCAAGUCGAACGGAAAGGCCCUGCUUGCCGGGUACUCGAGUGGCGAACGGGUGAGUAACACGUGGGUGAUCUGCCCUGCACUUCGGGAUAAGCCUGGGAAACUGGGUCUAAUACCGGAUAGGAGCCAUUUUUAGUGUGAUGGUUGGAAAGUUUUUUCGGUGUAGGAUGAGCUCGCGGCCUAUCAGCUUGUUGGUGGGGUAAUGGCCUACCAAGGCGGCGACGGGUAGCCGGCCUGAGAGGGUGGACGGCCACAUUGGGACUGAGAGACGGCCCAGACUCCUACGGGAGGCAGCAGUGGGGAAGAUUGCACAAUGGGCGCAAGCCGAAUGCAGCGACGCCGCGGGGGGGAGGACGGCCUUCGGGUUGGAAACUCCUUUCGCUAGGGACGAAGCUUUUUGUGACGGUACCUAGAUAAGAAGCACCGGCUAACUACGUG